rnacentral:rRNA from 1 species
CUAAAUGCGGAAGAGAUAAGUGCUGAAAGCAUCUAAGCACGAAACUUGCCCCGAGAUGAGUUCUCCCUGACUCUUUAAGGGUCCUGAAGGAACGUUGAAGACGACGACGUUAAUAGGCCGGGUGUGUAAGCGCAGCGAUGCGUUGAGCUAACCGGUACUAAUGAACCGUGAGGCUUAACCUU